rnacentral:lncRNA from 1 species
AUGGUGGGCACCGAGCUUGAGAGAAACAACCAGCCCUCAAGGAGGAUAAUAUGGCUUAGCCCAGAGGUAGCAAGUACAGAACUGUCUCUGCUUCCUCAGACAUAUCAUAUAUAUAGAAAUAUGUGUUCUUACAAAUUCAUGGACUCCUUUUUCUGGCAUUCUUUAGAAUCUGCUGUUAUUGUUUCCCCACAGGUGACUGGUUCUCUGCAGAAGAAAAAGGGAUCGUUGGGAAAAAAGACCUAAAAAAUAGAUCCAGAAGAGACAAUUUAAGAAACAUUGGACUACCAGAAAAUCAUGACCAAAGAAAAAAGUCUGGAUAUCAUUCUACAGGAAAUUAUUCAAGAAAACUGCUCAGGCAUUCUUGAACAAGAGGGUAAAGUAGACAUUGAAAGAAUCCACAGACCACCUGCUGCAUUUAAUAGCUAAUUGACAACACCAAGGAAUGUUAUAGCCAAGUUCAAGAACUUCCAGAUUAAGGAAAAGAUGGUACAAAGAAACCAUUCAGAUAUCAUGGAUGCACAGUUAGGAUAACACAGGAACUGGCUGCAUCCACUCUGAUGGACUGCAAGGCAAAAAAUAUGAUAUUACAGAAUAUGAGGAAACUGGGUCUACAACCAAGAAUCAACUACCCAGCAAUAUUGAUUAUAGUCAUGCACUGGAAAUUUUGGUAAUUUAAUUUUAAAAAGACUUCCAAGCAUUCCUAAAGGAAAGACCUGACUUAUGCAGAAAAUGUCAUACCCCAAAACAGAACUCAAGAGAAUCACCAAAAGGUAAGAAAGAAAAAAGAAAGAAAACCAAACUUUUUAAGGGACCCAAUGAGGUAAAAAUGAUUUGUAUUUCUAUAAGAAAAGAUAUUGAUAACACUUAAAAAAUGUUAUUUUCAUCAGGUUAGCUAGAAAGAGGGUACAGUGACAAACUGUAUAGGAUGAUAUGUCAAAAUGUAUUUAAAAAACUAGGUGUAAACAUAGGUUAAUACUAAGAGAAAUUGGAAAAGAGAUAAAAUGGGGUAAAUAUAUUUUUCAUAAAGAAGCUCAUGGGGGAGGGGGAGAAGAUCAAUUCAAUGGAAGAAUGGAAGAGUUUGGCAACAUGUAAUACUUAAAUCUUAUACACACUGAAAUUGACUCAGAGAGAGAACAAUCAGAUCCAUUGGGGCAGAGAAUUGUAUUG